CUAUCUGGAGGCAGUGUUACCAAACUUUCUGUUAGUUCUGUUCCAAACUAAAGAGGAUGUAAAAUAUGAGGGAUAUCUUUUGGAGAAGUAUGGGGAGGAAAGUAGCCAGCACCGAGAACUUGACAAAGAAUUGUGGUACCGAGCUUCAGGGGGAAAGAAGAGAGGUAAAGUAUAUGGGUUAAGCAAUCUUAAGAAUGAUUUUAACGUUUAGCAUCAUGGCAAACAAGCCCAAGAGAUCGAAAGGUUGAACGUGAUUAUUGCGGGAUUGGUGGUGGAAAAAGAGAAAGAUAAGGCG
rnacentral:lncRNA from 1 species